rnacentral:rRNA from 2 species
CCAAAACGACUCUCGGCAACGGAUAUCUAGGCUCUUGCAUCGAUGAAGAACGUAGCGAAAUGCGAUACUUGGUGUGAAUUGCAGAAUCCCGUGAACCAUCGAGUCUUUGAACGCAAGUUGCGCCCGAAGCCUUCUGGCCGAGGGCACGUCUGCCUGGG